GUGAGGAAUAUUGGUCAAUGGACGGAAGUCUGAACCAGCCAUGCCGCGUGAAGGAUGAAGGCGUUCUGCGUUGUAAACUUCUUUUAUCAGAGAAGAAACCACUGAUUUCUAUUAGUGUUGACGGUAUCUGAUGAAUAAGCACCGGCUAACUCCGUGCCAGCAGCCGCGGUAAUACGGAGGGUGCAAGCGUUAUCCGGAUUUACUGGGUUUAAAGGGUGUGUAGGCGGGCUAUUAAGUCAGGGGUGAAAUCCCGGGGCUCAACCUCGGAACUGCCUUUGAUACUAUUAGUCUUGAAUUAUGUUGAGGUUGGCGGAAUAUAACAUGUAGCGGUGAAAUGCAUAGAUAUGUUAUAGAACACCGAUUGCGAAGGCAGCUGGCUAAACAUAUAUUGACGCUGAGGCACGAAAGCGUGGGUAGCGAACAGGAUUAGAAACCCGGGUAGUCC
rnacentral:rRNA from 1 species